UCUCCCUCAAUGACUUUAUUUUAGGGGACAACGCUCCAGAAUUACUUCUUCCGACCAUGUUUCUCUCUGUAUAUCCUGACACUAGAUGGUGCAAUGUGAAUUCUAUGAUAAACUCUAUCCAGAUGUAGUUUCUCUCUGUUAUUAUUACGAGGUCUGUUAUCCAGGUACCAGUCUAUGUUGAAUUCUUGACGCCUAGAUUCUUUCCCAGUAAUUGAGCCAAGUUGGACAAAGCUAUUUACUUCUGGCAUGCCUUCAAUAAAACCUUAGCAAUUCUUUAAAUUCCAUAUUGACAGAGGUUCUGGGUACAAUGAGGAUUUAUGAUCUAAACACUUACUGAACGUGAACUCUCUGGAAGUGUUGUAGGUAGAAUGUGCAGCAUCGGCUAACAGCAAACCAUGGAAGGACACCUGAAGCUGCUAUUGGCUUUGUAAUCUUAUGUAGAGUAAACCAGAUUCAUGCAACAUUCUACAGUCUGUACAAAGGGCCCGGCCAUUAUAUAGCUAUCCCUAUCAGCAAAGCUAAGAAAUCUUUUGUGAGUGACUAGUUAGAAGGCUUACUGGAAAGUUACUCUUCUUCUGCAAAGACCAGAGGAUGGCCAUGAUGUAGGGUCAAGAUGACUUGGGACCUCAGUGGUUAAGACAUCUCCUUCAUCUAUUCAGAAUAGCUUAUUAGGGCAAAUAUCUUUCUAUUUUCUAUCAGAAAGGUAGAAUCAUAUAAACCCCACAGAGUGCCCUAAACAUUUUGGAUUCCAUCAAUAAAAUUUGGACUGUAUGUCAAUCUCGUGAAGCCUUCACACCACCGCCACUGGGUCAUUCAUUUCUUGA